GAUGAACGCUGGCGGCGUGCCUAAUACAUGCAAGUCGAGCGAACAGACGAGGAGCUUGCUCCUCUGACGUUAGCGGCGGACGGGUGAGUAACACGCGGAUAACCUACCUAUAAGACUGGGAUAACUUCGGGAAACCGGAGCUAAUACCGGAUAAUAUAUUGAACCGCAUGGUUCAAUAGUGAAAGACGGUUUUGCUGUCACUUAUAGAUGGAUCCGCGCCGCAUUAGCUAGUUGGUAAGGUAACGGCUUACCAAGGCAACGAUGCGUAGCCGACCUGAGAGGGUGAUCGGCCACACUGGAACUGAGACACGGUCCAGACUCCUACGGGAGGCAGCAGUAGGGAAUCUUCCGCAAUGGGCGAAAGCCCGACGGAGCAACGCCGCGUGAGUGAUGAAGGUCUUCGGAUCGUAAAACUCUGUUAUUAGGGAAGAACAAAUGUGUAAGUAACUAUGCACGUCUUGACGGUACCUAAUCAGAAAGCCACGGCUAACUACGUG
rnacentral:rRNA from 1 species